GUUGGCUUGGAAGCAGCCAUUCAUUUAAAGAGUGCGUAACAGCUCACUAGUCGAGGAGUUUGGCGUGGAUAAUAAUCGGGCAUUAAGCAAUUUACCGAAGCUAUGGGAUCAGUAAUGAUCGGUAGGGGAGCAUUCCACUCUGCGUCGAAGGUGAAGCGUGAGCUUUGCUGGAGCGUGUGGAAAAGCAAAUGUAGGUAUAAGUAACGAUAAAGGGGGUGAGAAACCCCCUCGCCGAAAGACUAAGGUUUCCUGAUCAACGCUAAUCGGAUCAGGGUUAGUCGGGUCCUAAGGCUCAGCCGAACGGUGAGGCCGAUGGCAGAACAGGUUAAUAUUCCUGUACUACCUUAAGGAGUGACGUGGAGACGGAGUCGUGACAACGCCGCGGACUGACGGAAUAGUCCGUUGAAGGGUGUAGAUGUUGAUUGUGGCAGGCAAAUCCACCACGAGAGUCGAACCUGAUAGUAUACCAAUUCCUUCGGGAAACGGUAAUAGUGCGUGUAAACAUACUCCCGAGAAAAUCCGCUAAACUUAAUCCUUGAGGUACCCGUACCGCAAACGGACACACGUAGUCGGGUUGAAUAUACUAAGGCGCUUGAGUGAUUCACGGUUAAGGAACUAGGCAAAUUGACCCUGUAACUUCGGGAUAAAGGGUCCCAACGAGAGUUGGGCGCAGAGAAUAGGUCCAGGCAACUGUUUAACAAAAACACAGGGCUGUGCUAAAUUGAAAGAUUACGUAUACAGCCUGACACCUGCCCGGUGCUGGAAGGUUAAGAGGAGAUGUCAUCGCAAGAGAAGCAUUGAAUUGAAGCCCCAGUAAACGGCGGCCGUAACUAUAACGGUCCUAAGGUAGCGAAAUUCCUUGUCGGGUAAGUUCCGACCUGCACGAAUGGUGUAAUGAUCUGGACGCUGUCUCAACCGUGAGCUCAGUGAAAUUGUAGUAUCGGUGAAGAUGCCGAUUACCCGCGAUGGGACGAAAAGACCCCGUGAACCUUUACUAUAGCUUAACAUUGAAUUUGGGUAAUUGAUGUGUAGGAUAGGCCGGAGACUUUGAAGCAGGUACGCCAGUAUUUGUGGAGUCGCUGUUGAAAUACGGCCCUUUGAUUAUUUGAGUUCUAACUCGUAGAUGCGAGGACACUGUUUGGUGGGUAGUUUGACUGGGGUGGUCGCCUCCAAAAGUGUAACGGAGGCUUCUAAAGGUGCCCUCAGGACGAUUGGUAACCGUCCGUAGAGUG
rnacentral:rRNA from 1 species